rnacentral:rRNA from 1 species
UACGUAGGGCGCGAGCGUUAUCCGGAAUUAUUGGGCGCAAAGAGCUCGUAGGCGGUUUGUCACGUCUGCUGUGAAAACUGGAGGCUCAACCUCCAGCCUGCAGUGGGUACGGGCAGACUAGAGUGCGGUAGGGGAGAUUGGAAUUCCUGGUGUAGCGGUGGAAUGCGCAGAUAUCAGGAGGAACACCGAUGGCGAAGGCAGAUCUCUGGGCCGUAACUGACGCUGAGGAGCGAAAGCAUGGGGAGCGAACAGG